rnacentral:rRNA from 1 species
UACGGGGGGGGCAAGCGUUGUUCGGAAUUACUGGGCGUAAAGGGCUCGUAGGCGGCCAACUAAGUCAGACGUGAAAUCCCUCGGCUUAACCGGGGAACUGCGUCUGAUACUGGAUGGCUUGAGGUUGGGAGAGGGAUGCGGAAUUCCAGGUGUAGCGGUGAAAUGCGUAGAUAUCUGGAGGAACACCGGUGGCGAAGGCGGCAUCCUGGACCAAUUCUGACGCUGAGGAGCAAAAGCCAGGGGAGCAAACGGG